GCUUCUUUUGCUGCGCUCUGGCCUUUCUCUCAUCCUGACUGCCAGAUUCCGGAUGGAGUUAAGAGCCACGUCCGGAGCGCAGGACUCUAAUUUAGCCUAAAUCCUGAAUUGCAGAGGAUUCACUCUCCUAUGCUGACCCUCUACCAAGAAGGACGUCCUUCCCAGAGAGUGAUCCCUCCUCAUGCCAUCUCCAAAGAUUCUUCUUUAGCAUCUCUGAUGAACAAGAUUCUCAGCAAUGGUAGCCGGGCACCAUCCAGUUCUUCUGGCUCCCGGGCACAGGAGGGAGUUGCUCAUGGAGGACGUUAGCACUGCAGAGUUCUUCCAGUGCCUAUUUCUACUUUAUGACUGAG